AACAAACGCUGGCGGCGUGCCUAACACAUGCAAGUCGUACGAGAAAGUUGGCUUCGGCCAAUGAGUAAAGUGGCGCACGGGUGAGUAACGCGUGGAUAAUCUGCCCUUCAGCGGGGAAUAACCCAUCGAAAGGUGGGCUAAUACCCCAUAACACUGUUUUACAACUGUCAAACAGUAAAAGAGAGCCUCUGCUUGCAAGCUUUUACUGAAGGUUGAGUACGCGUACCAUUAGCUAGUUGGUAGGGUAAUGGCCUACCAAGGCGACGAUGGUUAGGUGGUCUGAGAGGAUGAUCAGCCACACUGGAACUGAGACACGGUCCAGACUCCUACGGGAGGCAGCAGUGAGGAAUCUUGCGCAAUGGGGGAAACCCUGACGCAGCAACGCCGCGUGAGUGAGGAAGGUCUUCGGGUCGUAAAGCUCUGUCAGGCGGGAAGAAAUGCAUGGAGGUGAACAGCCGCCAUGCUUGACGGUACCGCCAGAGGAAGCACCGGCUAACUCCGUGCCAGCCGCCGCAGUAAGAC
rnacentral:rRNA from 1 species